GAAGAACAUAAGGACUGGCAUCGUGAGUGAGGAAAUUAGAGAAGAGGAACUCCUUGAAGCAGGCCUGAGUUGAAGUGGGAUAACUUCAUUUUUACUCACCCUGUCUCAAAACAGAACUGCAAAGCACAAGUCUCCUUGAUUGUUCUAUUAAACCUCACAUUGGAAGCCACAGGUCUCCCAUCUACACAGCAGCCCCAACAUCAUUGUAGAAAGCAGCAGUUUAAAAUUUGUUGCCUUCUAUGGAAGCAAUUGAACUUUCUGGAAG